CCCGCGCAUCGUCGGUGACAACGACAGGGUGCGCGGGGUUAUACCGGUACUGUGGGAUAGCUUGAAACACCGGGCGGGGCGGCGAGGCUAGCACCCCAGAGCGACAAGGCUGGCGGGU
rnacentral:sRNA from 12 species